rnacentral:rRNA from 1 species
UACGUAGGGCGCAAGCGUUAUCCGGAAUUAUUGGGCGUAAAGAGCUCGUAGGCGGUUUGUCGCGUCUGCUGUGAAAACUCGGGGCUCAACUCCGAGCUUGCAGUGGGUACGGGCAGACUAGAGUGCGGUAGGGGAGACUGGAAUUCCUGGUGUAGCGGUGGAAUGCGCAGAUAUCAGGAGGAACACCGGUGGCGAAGGCGGCGUCCUGGACCAACACUGACACUGAUGAGCGAAAGCCAGGGGAGCAAACGGG